rnacentral:snRNA from 1 species
GAAUUUAAGGUAAUUUGGCUGCGAUAUUUGCUACCUCAUGGGUCACCAGGGAGAGUUUGUCUGAUCUGGCUAGCUGGGUUUGUAUCAUCUUCCUCUUUCUUCUGUUUAUGGGUACUCCUUACAAAGUUUGUGUUCAACAUAGAAGAUACUCAGCCAAAGGGAAUGACCUUGCAAACUUGAAAAAGACCUUUCUUUGGUCUUGUGUAUGAAAAGUUGUGUUCUCCUGCUAGAAUUGAUAAACAACUCAAUAUAAAAACGAAUAGACCAACAAGGGGACACUGCACCAGGGCAGGAAGAAGGAACUGAAUGAGUAUUUAAAAUCUAUUAGUGGGACUGGCAGAAAAGAAU